rnacentral:snRNA from 1 species
AGCUUUGCAGAGGGGCAGAACUAUAGUCAGUGAGGUUUAUCCAAGGUGUGGUUAUUGCUAAUUGGAAACUAGAAAUACAUAAAAUACUAAAACUAUACAUUUUCUUGUACUCCCAUCGUAUCUUGGAGGGA